rnacentral:rRNA from 1 species
CCUACCUAUCAGGAGGGGAAGUAACCCGGCGAAAGUCGGACUAAUACCGCAUAAAACAGGGGCACCGCAUGGUGAUAUUUGUUAAAGAGAUUCGCUGAUAGAUGGGCAUGCGUUCCAUUAGGUAGUUGGUGAGGUAACGGCUCACCAAGCCGACGAUGGAUAGGGGAACUGAGAGGUUGGUCCCCCACACUGGUACUGAGACACGGACCAGACUCCUACGGGAGGCAGCAGUGAGGAAUAUUGGUCAAUGGGCGGGAGCCUGAACCAGCCAAGUCCGCGUGAAGGAAGAAGGAUCUAUGGUUCGUAAACUUCUUUUGCGGGGGAAUAAAGUGCAGGACGUGUCCUGUUUUGUAUGUACCCUGAGAAUAAGGAUCGGCUAACUCCGUGCCAGCCGCCGC